GAUGAACGCUGGCGGCGUGCUUAACACAUGCCAGUCGAGCGAGAAGUUUUGAAAAGAUUCUUCGGAUGAAAUUUAAAAUGGAAAGCGGCGGACGGGUGAGUAACGCGUAGGCAACCUGCCCCAUACAAAGGGAUAGCAUUUGGAAACGAAUAUUAAUACCUUAUGAAACUUAACUAGUGCAUGCUAGGUAGGUCAAAGAUUUAUCGGUAUGGGAUGGGCCUGCGUCUGAUUAGCUAGUUGGUUAGGUAACGGCUCACCAAGGCGACGAUCAGUAGCCGACCUGAGAGGGUGAACGGCCACAUUGGAACUGAGACACGGUCCAAACUCCUACGGGAGGCAGCAGUGGGGAAUAUUGCACAAUGGGGGAAACCCUGAUGCAGCAACGCCGCGUGAACGAUGAAGGCCUUUGGGUCGUAAAGUUCUGUUCUAGGUGAUGAAAACUGACAGUAACCUAGGAGAAAGCCCCGGCUAACUCCGUG
rnacentral:rRNA from 1 species